GGCUGAGGAGAUGAGAAAAGAGAAGAGAAAAAUCAGAGUGGAGGAGAGGAGAGGAGGUGGAGGGCAACAUGACAUGUAAACCCUCUCAUCUAAAAGAGAGGAGAAAAAAUGAGGGAAGAGACAUGAAAAAAGGAAAAAAGACGAGAGGGGAGGAGAGGAGAGGAGGUGGGAGGGCAACAUGUCGUGUAAAACCUCUCAUGUAAAAGAGAGAGGAGAGGAGGUGGAGGACAAUAUGAAAAGUGAACCGUCACCAUCAAAAAGAAAAACAUCUGUUUAUGUCAUACUGUCUACAUGAUACACAGGAAGAAUCCAUCUGUUCACAUUUAUUCACUGAAAAUGUAACUAUUAUCCCCUCAUCUGCAUUUUUUAGAAAGAGGAGAGGAGACACGAUUGAGGAAGAGAGAGAGGAGACGAGAAAAGGAAAGAAAAGAGGAAAAUCAGAGUGGAGGAGAGGAGAGGAGGUGGAGGGCAUUAUAAAGUGGAAACCCUCUCAUGUAAAAGUGAGAUAAUGACAGAGGAGGUGGAGAGGAGGUGGAGGACAUUACGAAGAAUGAACACUCACAUAUAAAAGGUAGGAAGCUAAUGUCUCUGAAAGCAGCUUAACUUCCCUGUAAUAACUUGAGACUGGUCUGAAAAGUUGUUCUCUUCUUGUGUUUUCCUUUUCAGCCAAGAAAACUCUGACCUGCCACUUCACAAACUACAAGUGAAACAUGUUUCUACAAAGAUUUUUCUCAUGUUCAAACUGUUCAAAAACAAGUGUUUGAAAUACAAAGUGACAACAAAAAGUGUGUUUUGUGAUUACAUUUAUAAAGACUUGUGACUUGAUUGAGAUUAUUGUAAUACUGAUUAUAGUGAUUACUGAUAUU